rnacentral:rRNA from 1 species
AUCCAGAGAACUUAGCAGAGAUGCUUGGUGCUUCGGACUCUGAGACAGGUGCUGCAUGGCUGUCGUCAGCUCGUGUUGUGAAAUGUUGGGUUAAGUCCCGNAACGAGCGCAACCCUUAUCCUUUGUUGCCAGCGGUUCGGCCGGGAACUCAAAGGAGACUGCCGGUGAUAAACCGGAGGAAGGUGGGGAUGACGUCAAGUCAUCAUGGCCCUUACGGCCAGGGCUACACACGUGCUACAAUGGCGCAUACAAGAGAAGCGACCUCGCGAGAGCAAGCGGACCUCAUAAAGUGCGUCGUAGUCCGGAUUGGAGUCUGCAACUCGACUCCAUGAAGUCGGAAUCGCUAGUAAUCGUAGAUCAGAAUGCUACGGUGAAUACGUUCCCGGGCCUUGUACACACCGCCCGUCACACCAUGGGAGUGGGUUGCAAAAGAAGUAGGUAGCUUAACCUUCGGGAGGGCGCUUACCACUUUGUGAUUCAUGACUGGGGUGAAGUCGUAACAAGGUAAGCGUAGCGAG